rnacentral:lncRNA from 1 species
UCACUGUGUUUUAAUGUAGAAUGAGUUUCAGGCACAUUGUCCAAUGGAUCUGAAUGCAAAAUUCAAAUCAAAUGUUGUCACAGAGUGUUUGGGAAGAAUUGUAACUUAAGCACUUUAAUAACCCCGUUAGACCUUGUCUCGGUCUGUCUGUUCAGCCAGACUUUCACUCUUUUUCUCCUCCGCAAAGUGAGUGAGGGCACACAGACAGAACCCAUCACCCCUACUAUUACCACCAACCAGAUCCUACUCUGAGUCUCUUUGUCUCCUGCAGGAGCUCCAUUCUCUUAGACUCAGAGUCCUGAAGCCUGAAUCAACUUUGACUUAUCCUUCUGACUUUUCUUCGACCUCUUGGGCAUCCAGUUUGUAGCCACAUCCUGUACUUUCUGUCCCAGCCAUGUUUCUUACAGGAAUCACUAUUUUCCCUCAUAACCUUCACCUGGAUUACUAUAACGUCCAUCUGAGUAUCGCAGUCUUCCAUUCCACCCUCCCCAUGACUCAUGCCAUACAUCACAACCACAGUGAUCUAGAACCCUAGCCUUUUAAAGAGGCAGGUCAUUUCCUUUCCAUCUUUCCUAUAGCAGAAAGUGGAGCAGCUAUUCAUCGAGUUACAAAUGCAAAAACCUUGACUCGCUUAGUAGGACCCUGAAAGACGUACAAACAGUACAUGUCCUUUAACACACUACUCUUAGUCUUCAUCAGUCCGGUGUUUCUCACAUCCAUGCAACUCUUUGGAUAACCUCAUGAAACCCCAACAAGGAGCCAAAACAAGAUGAGUCAUGAUGUAGUGACUCAGACAAGAACAAGAUGUCUCUGAAUGAAAGAAAACAGUGUGCUUCAACUACAGGAAAUCAGAAGCAGGAAUCACCAUGAGAGCCAAAAGGCAAUAUUGAAGGAGCACAUCUGCCAACUACCCCAAACUUUCCUCAGAUCUGGAAAAGUAGCUACAGCUAUCACCUUGCAACCAUGAAAGAAAGGCAAGAGAAUUACUAGGCCUUGGCCCAAACAGC